rnacentral:lncRNA from 12 species
UAAGAAGCUAUUUUCUGUUAUCUUAUUUAUAUUCUUGGGAAAUUAUGCCUUGUGGCAAUAGAGGGAUUUUUAGAAGUGACGGAAUCAAGCCCUGACUCUGUGAGGGAUUACAGCUGGGGUUCCUAUUUGCCAAGAUCUCUGCAAAUGGCCUGGAUCUUUGGCUCAAGAAACAGUUCAAACUUGAGAGCCCCAGGCUGUUCACAAAGAUGAAUGUGAUUGGAUGACUUUGAAUCAUAUUGGGAAGUGUGGAUUCAGCCUAAAGGU